UCCCGGGUGGCUCAGCUGGUAAAGAAUCUGCCUGCAAUGUAGGAGGCCUGGGUUCAAUCCCUGGGUUGGGAA
rfam:TPA: Bos taurus chromosome 20, whole genome shotgun sequence.